UACGAAGGGGGCUAGCGUUGCUCGGAAUCACUGGGCGUAAAGGGUGCGUAGGCGGGUCUUUAAGUCAGGGGUGAAAUCCUGGAGCUCAACUCCAGAACUGCCUUUGAUACUGAAGAUCUUGAGUUCGGGAGAGGUGAGUGGAGCUGCGAGUGUAGAGGUGAAAUUCGUAGAUAUUCGCAAGAACACCAGUGGCGAAGGCGGCUCACUGGCCCGAUACUGACGCUGAGGCGCGAAAGCUAGGGGAGCAAACGGG
rnacentral:rRNA from 1 species